GCGUGCAGGAUGACGGCCCUAUGGGUUGUAAACUGCUUUUAUACGGGAAGAAAUGCGCCCACGUGUGGGCGUCUGACGGUACCGUAAGAAUAAGGACCGGCUAACUCCGUGCCAGCAGCCGCGGUAAUACGGAGGGUCCGAGCGUUAUCCGGAAUCAUUGGGUUUAAAGGGUCCGUAGGCGGGCCUGUAAGUCAGGGGUGAAAGUUUGUGGCUCAACCAUAAAAUUGCCUUUGAUACUGCAGGUCUUGAGUCAUGGUGGGGUCGCCGGAACAUGUGGUGUAGCGGUGAAAUGCAUAGAUAUCACAUAGAACACCGAUCGCGAAGGCAGGUGGCCAACCAUGUACUGACGCUGAUGGACGAAAGCGUGGGUAGCGAACGGGAUUAGAUACCCCGGUAGUCCACGCCGUAAACGAUGGAUACUAGCUGUGGGGACUUCGGUCUCCGUGGCCAAGCGAAAGUGAUAAGUAUCCCACCUGGGGAGUACGUUCGCAAGAAUGAAACUCAAAGGAAUUGACGGGGGCCCGCACAAGCGGUGGAGCAUGUGGUUUAAUUCGAUGAUACGCGAGGAACCUUACCAGGGCUUAAAUGCAGGCUGCAUGGGGUAGAGAUACCCCUUUCUUCGGACCGCCUGCAAGGUGCUGCAUGGUUGUCGUCAGCUCGUGCCGUGAGGUGUCAGGUUAAGUCCUAUAACGAGCGCAACCCCUACCGUUAGUUGCCAGCAUGUCAAGAUGGGGACUCUA
rnacentral:rRNA from 1 species